rnacentral:rRNA from 1 species
UACGGAGGGUGCAAGCGUUAUCCGGAUUCACUGGGUUUAAAGGGUGCGUAGGCGGGCAGGUAAGUCAGUGGUGAAAUCUCCGAGCUUAACUCGGAAACUGCCAUUGAUACUAUUUGUCUUGAAUAUUGUGGAGGUAAGCGGAAUAUGUCAUGUAGCGGUGAAAUGCUUAGAUAUGACAUAGAACACCAAUUGCGAAGGCAGCUUACUACGCAAUGAUUGACGCUGAGGCACGAAAGCGUGGGGAUCAAACAGG